AAAAUAAUCCUACCCUUUGUGAAUUUUGUUUGUUUGAAUAAUUUUUUUUUUAAAAAAUUAUUGGAGUCUUUCCCUUUAGAGUUUGCUUUUGAGUUUGUAAAAGAAUUCGAAAACAUCUAAAGGGGAUGGUCAAUAAUUUUUUUUGAAAAAAGACAUUUUUUAAAAUUAAACUUUUUGUAUUCAUUUGUCUAAAAAUUAUUUUUAUAAUAUAAAAACAACUUUUGACAAUGGAUCUCUUGGUUCUCGCAACGAUGAAGAACGCAGCAAAAUGCGAUAAGUAGUGUGAAUUGCAGAAUAUGUGAAUCAUCGAAUCUUUGAACGCAUAUUGCACUUUUUUAGUCUACUAAAAAAGUAUGUCUGUUUGAGUAUCAGUAAAAUAUUCUCAUAAAAAUCAUUGUGUAUUUUUAUGGUUAUGAGUGUUUUACAACGAUACAAGUUGUUUCACUUUAAAUUUUUUUUUAAUAUUGAAAUUUUUCUAAUUUUAAUAAUUAAAAUUGGAUAAAAUUUUCCCGUCAAAAGGAAUAACCUAAACAAUUUUAAAUGAUUAAUUUUAGCAAAAUUUUCGAAAAAAGGAAAAUUUUUAUUAAAAUAACUUGAUCUCAAAUCAGAUAAGAGUACCCGCUGAACUUAAGCAUAUCAAUAAGCGGAGGAAAAGAAACUAACAAGGAUUCCCUUAGUAACGGCGAGUGAAGCGGGAAGAGCUCAAAUUUGAAAUCUUCAAGGUUUUACCUUGACGAAUUGUAGUUUAAAGAAGUGUUUUCUGCUGAAGUUUUGGUAAAAGUUCUUUGGAAUAGGACAUCAUAGAGGGUGAGAAUCCCGUAUUUGACCAUUAUUUUCAGCUUUGUGAUACACUUUCAAAGAGUCGGAUUGUUUGGGAAUGCAGUCCAAAAUGGGUGGUAAAUUUCAUCUAAAGCUAAAUAUUGGCGAGAGACCGAUAGCGAACAAGUACCGUGAGGGAAAGAUGAAAAGAACUUUGAAAAGAGAGUUAAACAGUACGUGAAAUUGUCAAAAGGGAAGCGUUUGACACCAGUGUUGUUUUCUCGAAAAUCAAUUAAAAAUGGCUCGAUUUUGUAUUGCUGAGACCUUAAAAGCUCACUGUACAUUUUUCGUGUCUUUUUUAAUGCACUUUUCGUUUAACAAGUCAACAUCAGUUUCUUUUGUUGUAAAAGGGUCAUUGGAAGGUGGCUUUCUUUUCGGAGAAAGUGUUUAUAGCCUUUGGCCUCUGCAAUCGAAGAGACUGAGGUCUGCAGCGUAGACUCUUCGGGGUUAGAUACAUCUGUGCUAAGUUAUAGCUUUUUAUAGACAACUUGUUGACUAUAAUUAGUCUUGUAGCUUACUCGCUUAUGCUAUUU
rnacentral:misc_RNA from 1 species